rnacentral:rRNA from 1 species
CGGGUGAGUAAUAUAUAGCUAAUCUGCCCCUUGCUGGAGGACAACAGUUAGAAAUGACUGCUAAUACUCCAUACUCCUUUUUACCAUAAGAUAAAUCGGGAAAGAAUUUCGGCAAGGGAUGAGAUUAUAUCGUAUCAGCUAGUCGGUGGGGUAACGGCCUACCGAGGCUAUGACGCGUAACUGGUCUGAGAGGAUGAUCAGUCACAUUGGAACUGAGACACGGUCCAA